GCCCCCGGUAGGGUGGCAUAUAGCAGUUGAACUGUCCGUCAGUAUGUCAGUCAGUCUGUCCGUCCGUCAGAAAAAACUUUAACAUUGGCCAUAACUUUUUCACUUUUGAAGAUAGCAACUUGAUAUUUGACAUGCAUGUGUAUCUCAUGGAGCUGCACUUUUGAGUGGUGAAAGGUGAAGGUCAAGGUCAUCCUUCAAGGUCAAAUGUCAAAUAUAUGGCAUCUGUUACUCCGAAAACUUUAACAUUGGCCAUAACUUUUUAUGUCCCCCACUAUAGUAGUGGGGGACAUAUUGUUUUUGCCCUGUCUGUUGGUUGGUUGGUUGGUUGGUCUGUUGGUCUGUUGGUUGGUCUGUUUGCGCCAACUUUAACAUUUUGCAAUAACUUUUGCUAUAUUGAAUAUAGCAACUUAAUAUUUGGCAUGCAUGUGUAUCUCAUGGAGCUGCACAUUUUGAGUGGUGAAAGGUCAAGGUCAUCCUUCAAGGUCAGAGGUCAAAUAUAUGUGGCCAAAAUCGCUCAUUUUAUGAAUACUUUUGAAAUAUUGAAGAUAGCAACUUGAUAUUUGGCAUGCAUGUGUAUCUCAUGGAGCUGCACAUUUUGAGUGGUGAAAGGUCAAGGUCAUCCUACAAGGCCAGAGGUCAAAUAUAUGUGGCCCAAAUCGCUUAUUUUAUGAAUACUUUUGCAAUAUUGAAGAUAGCAACUUGAUAUUUGGCAUGCAUGUGUAUCUCAUGGAGCUGCACAUUUUGAGUGGUGAAAGGUCAAGGUCAUCCUUCACAAGGUCAAGGUCAUCCUUCAAGGUCAAACGUCAUAUAGGGGGACAUUGUGUUUCACAAACGCAUCUUGUUUAAUAUUGAAGAUAGCAACUUGAUAUUUGGCAUGCAUGUGUAUCUGAUGAAGCUGCACAUUUUGAGUGGUGGAAGUUCAAGGUCAAGGUCAUCCUUCAAGGUAAAAAAAAAUAAUGUUCAAAGUGGCGUUAUCAUGAAGGUGCACAUUUUGAGUGAUGGAAGUUCAAGGUCAAGGUCAUCCUUCAAGGUCAAAGGUUAACAAAAUAAAAUAUUCAAAGCAACGUUCUCAUGAAGCUGCACAUUUUGAGUGACGGAAGUUCAAGGUCAAGGUCAUUCUUCAAGGUAAAGGUCAUCCUUCAAGGUCAAAGGUAAAAAAUAAAUUCAAAGAGGCGUUAUCAUGAAGCUGCACAUUGUGGUGGUUGGUUGUUCAAGGUCAAGGUCAUCCUUCAAGGUCAAAGGUCAAUUUUUUUAUUUUUUUUAAAUUCAUAGCGGCGUUAUCAUGAAGCUGCACAUUUUGAGUGGUGGAAGUUCACAGUCAAGGUCAUCCUUCAAGGUCAAAAAAUGAAAAAAAAUCAAAGCGGCGUUCUCAUGAAGCUGCACUUUUUUAGUGGUGGAAGGUCAAGGUUAUCCUUCAAGGUCAUCCUUCAAGGUCAAAGGUCAAACAAAAAAUAAAUAAAUUCAAAGCGGUGUUCUCAUGAAGCUGCACAUUUUGAGUGGUGGAAGUUCAAGGUCAAGGUCAUUCUUCAAGGUCAAGGUCAUCCUUAAACCUUAAAGGUCAAAGGUCGAUCCUUAAAGGUCAAAGGUCGAAAAAAAAAAUCAAAGCGGCGCCAUCAUGAAACUGCACAUUUUGAGUGGUGGAAGGUCAAGGUCAUCCUUCAAGGUCAAAGGUCAACAAAAUAUUCAAAGUGGAGUUCUCAUUAAGCUGCACAUUUUGAGUGGUGGAAGGUCAAGUACAUACUUCAAGGUCAAAGGUAAAAAAAACAAUAUUUUUUUUCAAAGCGGCCCAAUAGGGGGCAUUGUGUUUCUGACAAACACAUCUCUUGUUUUUUUCAAACAUGGUUAAAAAACACAAAUAUUUAUUUUAGUUAUUUUAUUUUUGAAAUACCGUCCAACCAUCCCACCCAAGAAUCCCCCCCCCCCCCCAAUUUUUUUUAAUUUUUAUGCAUUUUUGGAAGAUAAUGUAAUAAAUGACCACACCCCUCUCCACUCCACCCCUCCCUCCUGUGAUUGAAAUUGAGAUAGGUCCCUACACCUUUAAAAAGAAAAAUAGAUGAGCGGUCUGCACCCGCAAGGCAGUGCUCUUGUUGCUAAAAAGGCAUCAAAUGAAGAACAUGCUUUAUAUCCCAUCACUAUGUGGUUCUUUAUGUUCAAUAACAUUCAUGUUCCAAGGUAUAGCAUUGUAAAUAAUCCAUGUUAUUGAUGCUGUUAUUUCAAAAUAAUAGUUGUACUGCCUUUUUUAGCUGCCCUGUUAUUGCAAAACGCGUGUUGUGUUGAAAUUUUGUGAUUGCUAUUGUCUGUCGUGUGUCGCCAGUCAUUAGUCUUAAACAUUUAUCUUGUUAACUCUUUAUAGGCCAUAGUCAUUGUCCUACCUUCAUGAAACUUUGCCAGCAGAUUUGUCCUUAUGUCUCAGCUGAUUUUGAAACUUGUCAUGUGAGGUCAAAAACUAGGACACUGGGUUGAAAAACAUGAUAUAUUAAACCAUGUUAACAUUUGAAGUCACAUUUUUCGUCCAAUAUUCAUGAAAAGGAUACAAUGAGGGGAGGCAGUUAUGACGUGUACAAGACUUUUAUGUCAUGAUUUUGAAAUGGUCAACCAUUCAGAUGCCUGAUUGUUUGCCUAAUUUUUAACCUUUGGCAAAAACAUCUGUUCCAAUCAUUUCACUGCCCAAAUAUAGUCUGUGUCAUCUUGUGUAAAAAAGCUUGGUCAGAAGCUUAAUUUAUUAAGUAAGCAUCAAAAAAGCAGAUCAGGGGUCGUAUUCCAGAAGCAUCUUAAGUUAAAUUUUAUUCUUAUCCUUAAAUUGGGAAAUUUUCUUAAGUGUUUCUUUUCAUUUUGCAAUACAUUGGCAUCAAGAUAUACAUUUAAAUAACAUCAUCAUGCCAAUGUUAUUUUAGGAAUACCAAAAAAAAACAUGUGUUUCCUUAUUUAGUAAAGAAAUACAAAACAUUCUAAUUUUGAACAUAAGUGAAAUUAUUUAAGAAAUGACUUAAGAUGUUUCUGGAAUACCACCCCAGAUCAAUAUUUUUUCUUUAGGUAUCAGGUGAGCACACGAGGGCCUUUUGCCUUCUUAAAUAUUAGUUAAACAAAGUAGGAAGAGCAAUUAUAGUAAAAACACUUGUCUCUCACAUGCAUUCGCAUGUAUCAUAUAUUGACUUAACUGGUAGGAUCACAAUUAUACUCAUGAAGAAAUCAAUACUUGAGCUGUGCUCUGUGAAAAGGGGGUUUAAUGCAUGUGUGUAAAGUGUCAUCCCAGAUUAGCCUGUGCAGUCCACACAGGCAAUUUUUUUAUUAUUUUUUAUUAUUGAAAGCUUGUCAUAAUAAUGUGCCUAUACAUUAAAUAUUCAUGCACCGGUACUUUUAAUCUUCUAAACUCCACCUUCUUUGAAUAGUUCAGUUCCUUUGGGUCUUUGGUGAGUGAAUAAGGGCCUAUGACCCUCUUGUUAAUAUAUUUAAGACAAACAUGUGAUUGUAACUUGUAAUAAAACACUGGAAGCACUAAUAUGUCAGUGAGUUUAUCGUACACUUGCUAAACUCUUUUGUUACAUGGACAUUAUGUAUAAAACAAUUCAAAUGUAUGUCAAGCAUAUAAUGUCUAUAUGUGGUGUUUAUUGUUUGCACCCAUUUGGGCUGGUAAUGUGAAUACAUGUAUUAUUGGCAGUUGUGUAUUGUUAUGGAAUGAUUUCUAUCAUGUGAUCAAUCAUGUGACAAGCAUUAACUACUCUGGGCACUGGUUGUAAGGCAUUUUACAGUACCAAAUGGAGACUUAUUUGUACGAGUUUUAAGUUUUAUUUGUUGAUUCUUUACAUUAAGAGAUAUGUAAAAUAUUUCUACAUAAUGUUUCUUAAGUUUUGUUCUAUUAAUUGGGAUAUUAUGGAUGUUAUUAUGACAUCCUGUUAAAAUUAUGUUGUUACAAUACCAGUAAUUGUUAAGUGCAUACACAUUGUUUUUAAUGUGUUUGUAAAAUGUCAGUUUGUUUAUGAAUCAUUAAUUGUUUUAUGAAAUCCUCCACAUUAAUCCAUUUAAUUUUAUGAGGACAUAGAAGUGUUCAUUAAUUAAGGUAAGUCCAAGUAGUUAAAGAAAGGCAUUUUUUUAUCUUAUGUUUAAAAAUAGUUCUUUUAAAAUGUAAAAUUGUCCAAGGUAUUUUGCUGUUUUCAGAAAGUUUCAAUAGCUAUUUCUGUUUCCUUUUUGGUUUGUGACUUAUAUGAGAAAUGAUUGAGAGUAAAUCAUUGAUUAUUAUUAACUGGUUCAUAAUUGAGAUGAACCCUACAGUUUGGUGAUUAUUUUUUCUAUACAAUUGUAGAUUGACAAGAGCAGAUCCCUGCUUUAACCCUUUCCUACUCAGAAGCAAAGUGAAAAUGGCUAUGUGCAAUCAGCAUCAAACCAGAACAGCCUGCAAGUUACUCACAGUCUGUUCAGGUUUUAUGCUGUUUGCUGCACAUCAGUAUCAGACGGUUGGAAAUGAAGCCUUUAAAACUUGAAUCUAGUGAGAAAGGUCUUGAAUUUAAUUUAACUUUCUAAGGGACUACAAAUGCAUCAAAGGGUUAAUGUAGCAAACAAAUAAAUGUUUUAAUUAUAGGCAUCUUUAAAUUGCAUAGAUUGUUUUGAAAGAAGACAAUAAACCAUGGUUUGGUCUGAUCUGUAUGAAUCAGCUUGAAAUAAUUAUCAACAAACAACAGACUUGUUGGCUCUUGUAGCAUGUCAUGCUUCAACUAUAUAUUUUCCUCUUUUUUUCCAUAGACAAGUUUCCCAAGUUUUCAUAUUUGCUUUUUGUAAUUUUACUGGGAUACACUUUAAUCUACCUGAUGUCAGUUUGGCAACUAAUGUAUACAUCAUCAAAAUAUGUUAUGUACUCAGGCUAUUGAUUUCACUCUAAACAUGAGCCGAGAUCUGUGAAAAUGGGGUUUAAUGUAUGUGCGUAAAGUGUCAUCAGCCGAGAUCUGUGAAAAUGGGGUUUAAUGUAUGUGCGUAAAGUGUCAUGAGCCGAGAUCUGUGAAAAUGGGGUUUAAUGUAUGUGCGUAAAGUGUCAUCCCAGAUUAUCCUGUGCAAUCUGCACUGGGUUUUUGCUAAGAAGAGACUUUCUUAAAACAAACAAUAUCAUGAAGCGAAAAGUGUUGUUCCAGAUUAGCCUGUGCAGACUACACAUGCUAAUCUGGAAUGACACUUUACGUACAUGCAUUUAACCCCCUUUUUUCAGAGCACGAAAGAUAUUUAUAAAAAAAAUAUUUUGUGGUAUCGUGUCAGCUUGGAUUAGUAGCUAGCAUAAAUACAGAUGGAGAAGUCAGUGCAAUGUAUACAACCUGUUCAAUAGAGAUCUCCAAAGGUCCUAUAGUUUACAGAUUGUAAUGUUUGUGUGAAGAAAAACGUUGCCGUUAUAGUUAUGUUGUAUGUGUGUAUAAAAAUGUUGAAAGUUGUUUGUGUUUGCAGAAUUUGUUAAACUAUGAAAAGCUUGUUAUGAAGCAUUGAAUAGGUUUUGAAUUUUGCCUUAAAUGCCAAAUAUUUGUGCCCAAUUGAUUGUAUUCUUUGAAAAGUUCUAUACAGUUAAACAAAGCAUAAGGCACAAGUGGGCAUUGUCUCAAUCUUCAGCGAAACAAACCAUAUUUCUAAAAUAACAACAUGAACAAAAUAAAUAUUAACAUGUCUGACUUUCAACAACUACCUCCAUAAAGGCUCAUGCAAAGCUCCAUUGAGAGUCAUAACAGAAAUAUGUGAAUGCAUUGAUGAUGCCUUGUAUAUUUUACCACAUCCUUACAGACUUUCAAUAUAGGGUGUGCUGUUGGUGAAUAGAACUUUAUGUUUGUGCGUAAAGUAUUGUCCCAGAUAAGCCUGUGCGGUCUGGCUAAUCAGGGAUUACACUUUCAGCUUUUAUAGAUUUUUUUGCUUAAAUAUAAAAACCGAGUCUGACUUAACUAUGAAAAUCCAGUCUAGGCUGCAGGUAUUGUCACUGAUGAGUGUGUGAAACUGCACAUGCUAACAUGGGACGACAUUUUAAGCUCGUGCAUAAAGCUCCUUUUUUCGAUAGUGCUACUCAAAAGUUUGGAGAUGCAGGACUUCUCUCCACAUAUAUUACAAUUGGGCAUAUUUUAACAUAUAACUCUUUAUCUAUGUAUCUAUGUAGCCAACAUAGUCAGUGUAUUCCAUUGUAAUGUAUAGUGAUGGAUGCCGGUCCGGGGUGUUUUGUCACGUGUUGAGGAUACCAAUAGUUUUUAUUGCUGCACUUAGAUCAGUGAAGGGCAAGUGUUUUGCUGCACUUAGAUCAGUUAAGGGCAAGUGUUUUUCAAGUAUUUUUGCACUGCCUGCAAAUAUAUAUCUCUAGGAAUAGCGUCAUCUGAUAGCAUGCUUGAUACUUAAUGUACAUUUUGAUGCUAGGCACUCUUCAAGACUAGGAGUACUGGUAGUGUUAUAGUUUCUGUUGCUUAGUAAUGUUAACAAUUAUAGUCGUCAUAUACAGUGUAGUAUAGAGUUUAUACAUGUAACAAUACUAGUAUAUAGUGGUUGGUAGCCUGUGUGAAGUGUAGCGAGUCUGACAGACUAUAGUCUUUGUAGCCUGAGAUUCGAUAAUACAUACUCUUUCUGGAUAUCUGAAUUCUUUACCAAUGGUAAGUUGUCAUGCGUUCAUGAAUAUCAGCAUUGAAUUGUGUUUGUUCUUUUGAGUCCAAUGCUCAAUUUGCCAGUCGUUUUAUAAAGCCUUUUAACUAUUUACAUUUCCAGUCACAUUAUGAAUGAAAUCAGCUUCACUUCAUAAAAUCCUAUUUGAUAUCCCAAGUUAAUAAUGCUUGCAUUUUAAGGUAGAAAUGUUGAAUGUUGCUCAAUAAAAUUAUUUUCUUGUGUCAUGCAAAAGGCCAUAUAUGAGUCCAGCAGUUAUCGUAACCCAUUUAUGCCUUGCGGACUCUCCAAUCCUUAAUUGGAUCUUUAUUUCCAAAAUUAGGGAUGUCUAGUAUAUUUAUUUCUAUAUUUAGAAUAUUUCUUACAGAAAUUCCUUUAAGCAAACAGCGCAGACCCUGAUGAGACGCCGCAUCAUGUGGCGUCUCAUCUGGGUCUACACUGUUUGCCAAGGCCUUUUUUCUAGACAAUAGGCAUAAAUGGGUUUAGUGACUUUAUAGCAGCCAGCGUAGCUUUUGACCAGACAUUGUGUGCAGGCUGACCUUUUAAUUCUGUAAAUGUAUUACUCAACCUUGAUGAAACAUGGUCACAAUGAUUACUUUUACAAUAUCUAGGCCAUCUGAAGAAAGACACUGGAUCACCAAGUAGAGAAUUGUUUUACAGGGAAUUCGGAUGAGCAAUUUAGAGCCAUUUUGGCCUUAUUGUAUUACAAAAUAAAGAUUGAAUGCGAGCGCACAUCUAUAAUUAUUACGUUCACAAUAAAUUCUUAUUUGUAGCUUUUGUAAGCUAAAAUCUAUAUUGGUCUUACAUUAAGCACUAUUUUUGGGGAUUUUGCUUUUGAUAUCAGGUUUUGCAUUUAACCCUUUAAGCGCUGGAACCGGAUUUUAAAGGCCUUUGCAAACAGUUUGGAUCCAGAUGAGACGCCACAGAACGUGGCGUCUCAUCAGGAUCCAAACUGUUUGCUAUUCUGAUAGUAUUCUUUGAAAAAAAUUGAAGAAAAUGAUGAUUUUAGAAAUUCAGCAGACGACAUUUUAGCAGAUGACAAAUUUCCCAGCAUGCAAAGGGUUAAGUGUAGAAUGUGUUGAAUACUUUUAUUCAAACAUAUUUGUCAAUGGUAAUCAAAUCCUGAAUUAUUGUUAUUUGUUAUGUUGUUGCUUAUUAUACCCCCACAAACGAAGUUUAGGGGGGUAUAUAGGAGUGAGCUUGUUUGUCAGUCUGUCUGUCUGUCCUUCCGUAUUAAGUGUCCGCUCUCUAAUUCAAGUUGUUUUCAUCCGAUCUUCACCCAACUUGGUCAGAUGUUGUAUCUAGAUGAUGUCUAGGUAAAGUUCGAAUAUGGGUCAUGCCGGGUCAAAAACGAAGUCACUGGGUCACUUAGUGCAUUUUAAACAUUGAGCAUGGUGUCCACUGUUUUAUGUGAAGACAGCAUGUAAAAUAUUCUGUGUCAAUGCGACAUGUGGGGGUAUUCGUCACGUCUGUGACAAAGCUCUACCUUGCAUUGUAGAUGGUAGAAAUUCUUGUUGUGUGUAUGAACAUUUUUGAUGUACAUGUAUUUGUUAAGACAUAUUUAUCUUCUGUUAUUAUUAGAUAUGUAUAUGUAUAAACUCACUGUCCAUUUUUAUAUUGACAGUUAUACAAAAAUUAAUUUUUCUAUAUCCGAAUAAUUAAUUAAUUUUUUUAUAUCCAAAUAAACGUAACUUUGAA